UGGUUCUCGCAUCGAUGAAGAACGCAGCGAAUUGCGAUACGUAUCAUGACUUGCAGACGUGAAUCAUCAAUCUUUGAACGCACAUUGCGCCUUGAGGUAUUCCUCAAGGCAUGCCUGUUUGAGCGUCGGCUCCCUUCAAACCCCCGGGUUUGGUGUUGCCUUCCGAAAUAUCACAGUUGUUGCAAUACGUUACUUCAACUUUAUUCUUUCGCCCUCAAAUCAGGUAGGACUACCCGCUGA
rnacentral:misc_RNA from 1 species